AGCGAACGCUGGCGGCAUGCUUAACACAUGCAAGUCACGCGGGUGGUUUCGGCCAUCCGCGGCGGACGGGUGAGUAUCGCGUAGGAAUGUAUCCCGAGGUGGGGGACAACCCUGGGAAACUGGGGCUAAUACCGCAUGGGGCCUGUGGGUCAAAGCCUUAGGGCGCCUUGGGAGCAGCCUGCGUCCGAUUAGGUAGUUGGUGGGGUAAAGGCCUACCAAGCCUGCGAUCGGUAGCUGGUCUGAGAGGACGAUCAGCCACACUGGGACUGAGACACGGCCCAGACUCCUACGGGAGGCAGCAGUGGGGAAUAUUGGACAAUGGGCGCAAGCCUGAUCCAGCAAUGCCGCGUGGGUGAAGAAGGUCUUCGGAUUGUAAAGCCCUUUCGGCGGGGACGAUGAUGACGGUACCCGCAGAAGAAGCCCCGGCUAACUUCGUG
rnacentral:rRNA from 1 species